rnacentral:rRNA from 1 species
CCUACGGGUGGCAGCAGUCGAGAAUCAUUCACAAUGGGGGAAACCCUGAUGGGGCGACGCCGCGUGGGGGAAUGAAGGUCUGCGGAUUGUAAACCCCUGUCAUGUGGGAGCAAAUUAAAAAGAGAGUACCACAAGAGGAAGAGACGGCGAACGCUGGGCCAGCAGCCGCGGUAAGACAGAGGUCUCAAGCGUUGUUAGGAAUCACUGGGCGUACAGAGUGCGUAGGAGGUUGAGUAAGUCGUGGGUGAAAGGCGCGGGCUCAACCCGCGGACGGCACCUGAUACUGCGAGACUAGAGUACUGGAGGGGCAACCGGAAUUCUCGGUGUAGCCGU